rnacentral:ncRNA from 1 species
UAUCGGGAAUGAAGUUCUCCCACGGCUUUUGCCGAAACCGCAUUUUUGCUGAUGACUUCUGCAUU